GGUUGUAGCCCAGUGGGAGAGCACUUGCCUAGCAUGAGUGAGGCACUGGGUUCAAUCCUCAGCACCA
rnacentral:tRNA from 1 species